AAAAAAGGCAAAGAUUUUAAAAUACAUUUCUCAAAAGAGGAAUAAAUAAAAUGCUAAAUUAGAUAUUAUUUUUUUGUUGAUGAAGAAUGAAGGAGCUUUCAAUGAUUUUAGAAUUUUCCAUUUGAUCAGAUUUAUGUAAAUCUGAUCUUCCCCCUUGGUGCUUGGGAGAGAGUGGGUUUGUUUCAGAUGGGGACCUUGAUUAGUUCUGUUAUGUCCUGAUGGAGAGGGUGGGUUAGUUCUGUUAUGUCCUGAUGGAGAGGGUGUGUUUGUUUUAGAUAGGGGAGCUUGGUUAGUUCUGUUAUGUCCUGAUGGAGAGGGUGGGUUAGUUCUGUUAUGUCCUGAUGGAGAGGGUGUGUUUGUUUUAGAUGGGGGAGCUUGGUUAGUUCUGUUAUGUCCUGAUGGAGAGGGUGGGUUAGUUCUGUUAUGUCCUGAUGGAGAGGGUGGGUUAGUUCUGUUAUGUCCUGAUGGAGAGGGUGUGUUUGUUUUAGAUGGGGGAGCUUGUUAGUUCUGUUAUGUCCUGAUGGAGAGGGUGGGUUAGUUCUGUUAUGUCCUGAUGGAGGGGGUGGGUUAGUUCUGUUAUGUCCUGAUGGAGACAAAUACCUCCCAUUGAAUCUUCAUGACUCCACGUUAAUGCAGAUUGUGAAUGAAAGAUGUAUUUUAUGCAUUAUGUUGCCAUUAAAUGGGAUCAUCGUUUUUAUGGACUACUGCACCUUCAUAACCAAGCAC
ensembl:lncRNA